rnacentral:rRNA from 1 species
UACGUAGGGGGCAAGCGUUAUCCGGAAUUACUGGGUGUAAAGGGAGCGUAGACGGCAAUGCAAGUCCGGAGUGGAAUGCGGCAGCUCAACUGCCGAACUGCUCUGGAAACUGUAUGGCUUGAGUGCAGGAGGGGUAAGCGGAAUUCCUGGUGUAGCGGUGAAAUGCGUAGAUAUCAGGAGGAACACCGGUGGCGAAGGCGGCUUACUGGACUGUAACUGACGUUGAGGCUCGAAAGCGUGGGGAGCAAACGGG